rnacentral:rRNA from 1 species
CCUACGGGGUGCUGCAGUGAGGAAUAUUGGUCAAUGGACGAGAGUCUGAACCAGCCAAGUAGCGUGAAGGAUGACUGCCCUAUGGGUUGUAAACUUCUUUUAUAUGGGAAUAAAACGUUCCACGUGUGGGAUUUUGUAUGUACCAUAUGAAUAAGGAUCGGCUAACUCCGUGCCAGCAGCCGCGGUAAUACGGAGGAUCCGAGCGUUAUCCGGAUUUAUUGGGUUUAAAGGGAGCGUAGGUGGAUUGUUAAGUCAGUUGUGAAAGUUUGCGGCUCAACCGUAAAAUUGCAGUUGAAACUGGCAGUCUUGAGUACAGUAGAGGUGGGCGGAAUUCGUGGUGUGGCGGUGAAAUGCUUAGAUAUCACGAAGAACUCCGAUUGCGAAGGCAGUUCACUGGACUGCAACUGACACUGAGGCUCGAAAGUGUGGGUAUCAAACAGGAUUAGAUACCCCUGUAGUC